UGCCAGCCGCCGCGGUAAUACGAAGGUGGCAAGCGUUGUUCGGAAUCACUGGGCAUAAAGCGCGCGUAGGCGGCUAAGUCAGUCGGAUGUGAAAUCCCUCAGCUCAACUGAGGAACUGCGUCCGAUACUGCUUGGCUUGAGGCCUGGAGGGGAGAGUGGAAUUCCUGGUGGAGCGGUGAAAUGCGUAGAGAUCAGGAGGAACGCCGGCGGCGAAAGCGACUCUCUGGACAGGUUCUGACGCUGAGGCGCGAAAGCUAGGGGAGCAAACGGGAUUAGAUA
rnacentral:rRNA from 1 species